CUAGAUUUGGGUCUGGAUUACAGAAGUCACUUGAUUUCACCUGGAUCUGUUACUUCAUGAGUGUAAAGAUAAAGCUGGAUUAUGACUUCUGAAGGUGUUUUUGUUCAACACUUGAGAUGAAUGAUAUUUGAAGAGCACAUAAAAGGAGUCGUGCUUAAUCUUGGGAGAUGUGGAUUAAGAAACCUGGGUCAGAAAGCCGAAGUAGAGUACAUAUGGUAUGAGCACAAAAUGUGCAGGUUGUAGAAAUUAUGGUAAAAUCUCUGCCACAUAAAAGAAAGAGAAAUCUGCGAUUCAAUCCCAAUCUUGCAUCUAGCCAGUGGUGUACUGGAAUUUUCAGGCACAAGUUCCUUCAUCAGUGAAAUGAGAAGAAAGGAAAACACAAUCUCUAAGUUCUCAGAGCUGCACCAUUCUGGAAACUACACACUUUUGCUCUUCCAUAAGAGCAAAGCCUAGCCAGUAUCCUACCCUAUUGGGCUAGACACCCUAGGGAAGCAGGUUGACCAUCUCCCAUCUGAAAAUCCAAAAUCUGAAAUGCUCUAAAAUCUAAAACUCGUUGAGCACUGAUGUGACACUACAAGUGGACAAUUUCACACCUCACCACAUGUGAUGGGUUGCAGUCCAAACAUAGCAAAAACUUUGUUUCAUGAAAAAAUAUAUAAAAAUUGUAUUAAAUUAUCUUCAGUCUACGUAUAUAAAGUAUAUGUAAAGCAUAAAUAAAUGUUGUGUUUAGACUUUGAGUUGCAUCCCCAUGAUAUAUCAUUGUGGAUAUGCAAAUAUUCCAAAAUUUGAAAACAUCCAAAAUUUAAAAACACUUCUCUUUCCAACCAUUUCAGAUAAGGGAUACUCAGCCUUUAAUAGCAUUUAUAGUACUUUUAGUAAAAUUGACAUAGUUUACUAAUGUUAUGUAGACAUUCUUGGGCCACAUGAUGAAAAGAUAUUUCAUAAUUCUGAGAAUCAGAUGCAAUCAUUCACUUCUCAGUCCCAGGACCAAACAAGUCUGAAGUAAUAAAUAGUAUUCUGUUUUUAAAGGGGGUGUGGAGGGAAUGGGAAAAUCCUCCUGAAGUAAAUAUGACCAUAUCAUAAAACUCCAUUAAAUAGGUGAUACUCUUUAGCUGUGAAAUUCAAUUCAACAACAAGCAGUUAAACAUUUUCUUAGAUUGAAAUUAUGAGAUAUGAUACAAGAAAGAAAUCGGAGACUAGAACUGAAGUCUGAUCUUGAUGGCCAGCACAACAUGACCUUGUCUUAGUGUCUGUAUUUUUUCCUACUUAUAUGCUUCUCUGGGAUUUUGUUUAGAUGUUCCACCUUUUUAAUUCUUUCAGUACUAAUUUUGCUUUUUUCUUUAGUUCUUUUUUAAAAAUUAAGUUUCUAUUAGAUCAGGCAUUACUAAGAGGGAAAA
rnacentral:lncRNA from 10 species